ensembl:lncRNA
AUGUUCAUAUUUCUCUCCUGUGUGAUGUGUGUAUCUGUAGGUGAUUUUAAUAGGAGUCAUAACAGCUACAGCUGCAUGUACACGCAACCCCUGUCUGGUGGUCACUUCUCAAGUGCUGAAUCUGCUCAACAUCUGCAAUGUGGUGACGGCCGUCGUCGUGUUUUUCGUCAGCGUCUUGCUUGUGUUUCUCGGAGAUAUUGUUGGAGCUGCUCUUCGCACACAUUUUGUGAGCAGCCGCUCCGAGAGUCCCUCUUCUCAGACCGCAAACAUCGCCUUCAUCGCCUGUAA